GAACAUUCCAGGCUCUGUGAACUAAGUGACUGAAGCUGAUUGACACAGGUCAAGGGGACUUCAAGGAAGAAAGCCAGCCUUAGACUGACAUCAGAGAACCAAACUCCGGUGUCUAAGCUCAAGUAAUACAAGUAAUUGGGAAGACACUGGCUCAGAGCCUGUCUCUGGUGACCACUGAAUUGUCCAGCACCUGAGGUCCCUGGAGCCCACGGACUGAGCCCAUCUGGGCUAAAAGAGGUCCCAUACAUCCUUCUCAAAGGCCUAUAUAAAUGCCAAGCAGAGUUAUAGCAGGAGGUUAGAAUCCUGAGAACUGUUUGGAAUAAGGAAUCCAAAUAUUGUCUUCCAGCUUCACCUUGUCACGACAGUCCUCGCCAGGGACAGCUGAGCAUCUACAUCUCCAUUUAUGCCGUGUGCACGCAGUACCAACAGAGGUCAGAGGAGGGUGUCGGAUCCCCUGGAACUGGAGUCACAGAUUCUUCCUUGCGUGGAUGAAACAGUCCCAACGAACACUUUAAAAAGACAAAUGUUCCCGACAGCACUGGUUGAAUUCAAAACUCGGCAGAUCCAUGUUCUUAUCCUUAGACAAGAGAGGGGCCAUAACAAGAUGGAAUGACGGAACAGACGUGAGAGAUGAUGGUACAGUGACUCGGGUAACCCCAGAAAAGGGACAGCUCUUCUACAGCUCAGUGGGGACAGGGACAAAAAGAAACAAUUUCAUUUCAGUCCACCCAGAGGGUCUGCACUUCUCGGAGCCAGAAGGUGGAGAAGAGUAGGGAUGGAGGAAGUUCGAAGUUUUAGGAGUCUGCUCUUGGGUCCCUAGGCAUGAGGACAAGCUUUUCCUGUACUCAAUGCUCAUCUCUCAGUUGUGCCCACAUUGGUACACAUUACUUGCUUUCAACUGCUGCUGCUGCUGUUUCCUAAUUCAAUAAAGAUAUGGCUGGC
rnacentral:lncRNA from 1 species